GUGUAUCCAUUCUUGAAACGAGUAACUCUCAGAACCAGUGGUCACUGAACCCAUCCUGGUAACGCACUCAUAUUGUUACCUCGUCUUUAUUUUCAGUAGCAGAGGUGGGACAAUAAUGUGCACUUAAGAGAAAUCUGCCCACUGACACCCUCUGUUGUGAUUCAGACACCACAAUGAGUAAGUGCAAUUAUGCUGGAUCAGGAUGGGACUGACAGAACAAGAAAGCUCCCCACACGACAGUGAAGCAAAGGGAGUUGUUGCUAGAAUUAGUGUGGGUCAGCACAAAUCUCUCCUAUGUAUUCACUGUAAACCUGCCUGGUUACUUCUACACAACUGUUGACUUAAAACAGCUAACUUUUCAUUUUUCUCAUCUGAAACAUAAGGAUAUUUAGAGAGUAAAACGUGAAACUGUCCUUUCAAAAAGAGAAAGGAUUAGUUUAGUAAGAGAAUGCUGUCCUUAUACCCCUCAAUAACAUUAUUAUUUCUAUUUCUCCUUUACAGCUAUGAAUUCCAGGUGAAGCCCAAAAAUCCACUUGGCGAGGGCCCCGCCAGCAACACAGUGGCGUUUAGUACGGAAUCAGCUGACCCAAGAGUGAGUGAGCCAAUUUCUGCAGGGAGAGACGCCAUCUGGACUGAAAGACCCUUCAAUUCAGACUCUUACUCAGAAUGUAAAGGCAAGCAGUAUGUUAAAAGGACGUGGUAUAAGAAGUUUGUCGGAGUGCAGCUGUGUAACUCUCUCAGA
rnacentral:lncRNA from 1 species